UACGUAGGUGACAAGCGUUUGUCCGGAUUUACUGGGCGUAAAGAGCGCGCAGGCGGUUCGUUCAAGUCGAGUGUGAAAGCCCCCGGCUCAACUGGGGAGGGUCACGCGAUACUGAUCGACUCGAAGGCAGGAGAGGGUAGUGGAAUUCCCGGUGUAGCGGUGAAAUGCGCAGAUAUCGGGAGGAACACCAGUAGCGAAGGCGGCUCGCUGGGCCAUUCCUGACGCUGGAGACGCGGAAAGCUAGGGGAGCGAACAGG
rnacentral:rRNA from 1 species